rnacentral:rRNA from 1 species
AGUGAACGCUGGCGGUAGGCCUAACACAUGCAAGUCGAACGGCAGCACAGUAAGAGCUUGCUCUUACGGGUGGCGAGUGGCGGACGGGUGAGGAAUACAUCGGAAUCUACUUUUUCGUGGGGGAUAACGUAGGGAAACUUACGCUAAUACCGCAUACGACCUACGGGUGAAAGCAGGGGAUCUUCGGACCUUGCGCGAUUGAAUGAGCCGAUGUCGGAUUAGCUAGUUGGCGGGGUAAAGGCCCACCAAGGCGACGAUCCGUAGCUGGUCUGAGAGGAUGAUCAGCCACACUGGAACUGAGACACGGGCCAGAAUCCUACGGGAGGCAGCAGUGGGGAAUAUUGGACAAUGGGCGCAAGCCUGAUCCAGCCAUAACGCGUGGGUGAAGAAGGCCUUCGGGUUGUAAAGCCCUUUUGUUGGGAAAGAAAAGCAGCAGGUUAAUACCCCGCUGUUCUGACGGUACCCAAAGAAUAAGCACCGGCUAACUUCGUG